AAAGUAGUGCGAGUGCGGAAAGUAAAUAAUUUAAAGCAAGUGCGGGAAAUAAAUAAAAGUAAAGCGAGUGCGAGGAAAUAAAUAAUUUAAAGCGAGUGCCGGGAAAUAAAUAAUUUAAAGCGAGUGCGGGAAAUAAAUAAUGUAAAGCGAGUGCGGGAAAAUAAAUAAGAUAAAGACAAGUAAUAAAAACCUGCUUCAAUCGGAGGGUUGAAUAAAUUGCAAAGCGAAAAUGAAAAUGGCGGCAGGAUUAACUUCCUUCCAAAG
rnacentral:lncRNA from 1 species